rnacentral:lncRNA from 1 species
CAGCAGUAUUCACCAGCCCUGUGUGACUGGCAAAUCCCAGGAAAAGCACUCUCAAGCUGAAGGUGUGCUAAGGAUGCCUCUGCACUCACCAUGGGGAAGGACAGGAUCCAUUCAUCCUGAUAAUGCUCACUCAAUGGAGAUCUCUCUUCAAAUACAUAUGCUGUCUCCAAGGCAUCCUGGUCUUCGCACUUCUGCAUCAGCCACUUUCCAACACCCCCAAGACUUCCAAGAACAAGAUGACUGAUAAAUGUAAAGGAUAAUAUCCACAAGAAAACACCGAUGAAUAUAUUCUCUCCCCUUGUCUAAAAUACAGAUUCAGAUACAUAUAUUCCACAAUGCAUUGGGAUGUCUUAUUUAAUUUGUUAUAUAUCAAGUUAACAUCCAAAAUCUUUCUGUAUUUUACAAACCAAUUAUUAAAACUCUUGGUGUCAAAACUAUACAAUCUCAGAAGUUUCCUACUAAACUUCAGUACCA